ACGGCUCAUUACAAUGGCCAUUAUUUACUUGAUCUUGAUUGUCUAAAUGGAUAACUGUGAAAAGCUAGAGCUAAUACAUGCACUAAAGCUUUGUCCUUWCGGAAAAGCGCAUUUAUUAGAACAAAACCACGCGGCUUCGGCUGCUUCUUGUUGACUCAGAAUAACUAAGCUGACCGCAUGGCCUUGUGCCGGCGGCGUGUCUUUCAAGCGUCCACUUUAUCAACUUGACGGGAGCAUAAUCGACUCCCGUGGUGGUGACGGAUAACGGAGGAUCAGGGUUCGACUCCGGAGAAGGGGCCUGAGAAAUGGCCACUACGUCUAAGGAUGGCAGCAGGCGCGCAAAUUMCCCACUCUCGGCUCGAGGAGGUAGYGACGAGAAAUAACGAGACUGUUCUCUUUGAGGCCGGUCAUCGGAAUGGGUACAAUUUAAACCCUUUAACGAGUAUCAAGCAGAGGGCAAGUCUGGUGCCAGCAGCCGCGGUAAUUCCAGCUCUGCAAAUACAUAGAAUUAUUGCUGCGGUUARAAAGCUCRUAGUUGGAUUCGUAUCGAUACCUUGGAACCCUUCGGGUGUCUCUAGGUGUUAUCGAUUUAUCGUAAUGUUCGGUUUUGAGUCCUUAACAGGAUUCUUAACAGGCAUUGCAAGUUUACUUUGAACAAAUCAGAGUGCUUCAAACAGGCGUUUUCGCUUGAAUGAUCGUGCAUGGAAUAAUAGAAAAUGAUUUCGGUUCAGUUUUAUUGGUUUUACGGACUGAGAUAAUGGUUAACAGAGACAAACGGGGGCAUUUGUAUGGUCCCGUGAGAGGUGAAAUUCUUGGACCGUGGCCAGACAAACUACAGCGAAAGCAUUUGCCAAGAAUGUUUUUAUUAAUCAAGAACGAAAGUCAKAGGUUCGAAGGCGAUCAGAUACCGCCCUAGUUCUGACCGUAAACGAUGCCRACUAGCGAUCCGCCGAUGGAAAUUAUAUUGCCUUGGUGGGGAGCUUCCCGGAAACGAAAGUCUUCCGGUUCCGGGGGAAGUAUGGUUGCAAAGCUGAAACUUAAAGGAAUUGACGGAAGGGCACCACCAGGAGUGGAGCCUGCGGCUUAAUUUGACUCAACACGGGGAAACUCACCCGGCCCGGACACUGUGAGGAUUGACAGAUUGAUAGCUUUUUCAUGAUUCAGUGGAUGGUGGUGCAUGGCCGUUCUUA
rnacentral:rRNA from 1 species